ACUGCAACCUUGCCCUCGCCUAUGCCGACGCUCGAGGGGCGAGGACAAGUACAAAGAGCCGGAGGCCCAAAGCGCGGAUGGUGGCGGUGAUCCCGUCGGCAACGGGGACUUCUCGAGCCGCCUCUACCUCGGCACCGACGACAGGGGCCGUCAGCCCUCCGGCAGAUCCCCACUCAGAUCCUCCCGGACGAGUGGGGCACCGACCUCCGCGUGGAGGCAUCGUACCGGUGCAAAGGCAGGACCGCCCCAGAACACGAACGCCGCCCUGGCAGCGCGCGAUAUCUUGGGCGGUCCUCCCGUGUGCACGACGCGGCAACCGCCUUCCGGCAGGAGGGGGCACCGGGAGCCAAGCUGACGAGCCCGACGCGCUGAGGCUGACGACGCCCGCCGUCGACCAGCCCCGCGUUGUCGAAGUCCGACCCGCCCGCAGGGCCAGUGAGCGCCCUCUCCCUCGAACGCCGAAGGAGAGGCCGACCCACGAACCCGCGCGGGAGGUAGAGCUCCGGCUCAGCCCGGCCUCCACCCCAGCGAGGAUGAUGAACAUCCUUGAAGCUGAGGGUGGGACCAAGAUCGCAGCCCGGCUUGCUUCUCCCCACCCAGGGGCUGGUGGUCACCGUCUUGGGUGACCACCGAUGGAGGGGUGCAGCCGGGCUGCAUGAUGAAAAUCCUUGAAGCCGAAAGAUGGCUGAAAGGUACCAACUCCCACGGAGUUGCGUUCCCCCAACGACAAGGCGGAAAGAUUGCGGGUAUCCCCCAUCCGGGGGCUUGGAAGGUGGAAAGGCACGAUGCAUAAGGGAGCGCGAAGACAUGGUCGCCUUUCAAGGGGGUCACCCUCCUUUUAAAGGCGACUCUCCCUACUUGCGUCCCCAACCGUCGGGGGCUGAGUCUUCUCCGACACGCUCCAAGGUCCUCCCCCUACGGCGCGAAGGCUGGGUCCCACACGUCAUGCAAGCUGGCCCAGAGCAGAAGAAGCCAAACCGCCGCGCGCGAUGCGUGCAACCGCCCAACGGAUUACAAGCGGCUCUCCACUUUUGCCCAGACCAGCGGGCGAAAGGGCGGGCAGCCAUGCAGGCGGCAUGCAACCGCGCCAAGUGGGCGCACUUCUCUGACUUCCAGCACGCCCUGCAUGGAGGCCCAGGCCCACGCGUCAUGCAACCGGCACGACGGAUGCUUCGUGCAAGCAACUGCACCGCCACUUGCGCCACUACCGCGCCUCCUCGACUGCGGAACCGAUACCGCGACUCGAGGCGACCCAGCGCACGACCCAGCAGCGCCAGCCUGGCGCGACGGCCAAUGCGGCCAAAAACGGGCCGGCAGUAAUGGCGGUGGCAGGCGGGCAGGAGCAGCGGUCACGUCGUCAGCCAAGCUUACGUCCCAUCCGGGGGCAGCGAGAGAACCCUCUCUCACGGCGUGAAGACGACGCGCCCGUGUUCCGUUCCUCGAACGGCCCGCGCACGCGCAACGGCCGCCCCGCGAACCACUCGCCCCGUCGCAUUAACUCCGCGGCGGGACAGGCGGUGCCUCUGGCAGGAGAAGCGAGCGACGCUUCGCCUUCGCCAUAAUGACCGCGUCAAAAAAGGUACGCCGCGUCGUUCGAUUUCAUAUCCUUUUCCUUUUUUUCCUCUUUCUCCUCUUUCUCUCUCUUACAACAGGGACCGGGAAAGGGGGAUACCCCGAAAAGGAUCCUUCCCCGUGAAGGAACCAGGCUCCGAGCCUCCCUACUGAUCAGAGGUUCGAAGGCUGGCCCCUCGGAAGGGUUCAACAGCCGCCUCAGAGCACGUGGGCUCCACACCCACUACUGGUCAGAGGUUCGAAGGCUGGCCCCUCGGAAGGGUUCAACGGCCGCCUCAGGCUACUCGGGCUCCGCGCCCACUACUGAUCAGGGGUUUGAAGGCUGGCCCCCGAAGGGUUCACAGCCGCCUCAGACACAGAGCGAGGGAUGACCAUGGGUACGUUCGAUACAUAACCAAGGCUCGGGCUGCGCUCCCGAGGUACCCUAGGACAUUUCCGAGACCAGCGGGAACGAUCUUGUAACGGAAUCCCAUCAGAGGGAGGCAUCGAGCCCUCGGACCCCGUCGACAGGGGACCGGGUCCGGCAGAUCACCCGCAGGUAUUUUUGGGCGUGCCUCUGGGCCUCUAGCCGACCCCUAGCGAAUGGGGCACGGACGUCCGCUCGGAUUACCCGCUUGCAGCUCACCGGAGACACCAUGUUCGGCGCCCACCGAGGGCAACAUGGCGCUUUCCCCCCCUCCUCCUUGCGGAAAGGCGACGCAGGGGCGUAUGUAAAAAAGUCAAGUCUGCCCCUGAUCGCCCUCUCGCCCUGUGCAGAGGCUUGGGGGCUGCUCUCGCGAACCCGGCUCCGGCCAAACCGUUGACAGCGUCAACAUACCAGCCCGAGAACUUGGGACCCGACCGUACACCCGGGCUACGGCCAGCUCGCAUGAGGGAACGACCAGACCAGCCGAAGCAUUACGCGAGGCAUUAAGACCUCGGAGGAGUCAAACCACUCCUCCAAGGCCUCGGGGGCUACACCCGGCGGGUGCGCUCGCGCGCACCCACCGGAACAAAACGCAACCGAGAAAGGCUGGUCCCCUUGCAAAGAAGUGCGACGAAAGCCUCCAAGCGAGUGCUAACACUCCCUUCGAGGCUCGGGGGCUACUGUCGGGGACCAUAAUUAGGGGUACCCUCAAGGCUCCUAAUUCUCAGCUGGUAACCCCCAUCAGCAUAAAGCUGCAAAGGCCUGAUGGGUGCGAUUAAGUCAGGGAUCGGUCCAUUCGAGGGACUCGAUCACGCCUCGCCCGAGCCUAGCCUUGGACAAGGGCAGCCGACCCCGGAGGAUCUCCGCCUCGCCCGAGGCCCCCCUCCAGCGGCGAACAUAUUUUCGGCUCGCCCGAGGCCAUGUCUUCGCCAAGAAGCAACCCUGACCAAAUCACCACGCCGACCGACCAAAUCGCAGGAGCAUUUAAUGCAAAGGUGGCCUGACACCUUUAUCCUGACGCGCGCCCUUCAGUCGACAGAGCCGAAGUGACCGCCGUCACUUCGCCGCUCCACUGACCGGCCCGACAGAAAGACAGCGUCGCCUGCGCCGCUCCGACUGCGGUGCCACUUGACGGAGUGAGGCUGACAGGCAGUCAGGCCCGGCCGCAGGUGCCAUAGGAAGCUCCGCUCCGCCUGACCCAGGGCUCGGACUCGGGCUAAGCCCCGGAAAACGGUGAACUCCGCUCCGCCUGACCCAGGGCUCGGACUCGGGCUAAGCCCCGGAAGACGGCGAACUCCGCUCCGCCCGACCCAGGGCUCGGACUUGGGCUAAGCCCCGGAAGACGGCGAACUCCGCUCCGCCCGACCCAGGGCUCGGACUUGGGCUCAGCCCCGAAAGACGGCGAACUCCGCUUCGCCCGACCCCAGGGCUCGGACUCAGCCCUGGCUUCAGCCGACGGUCUCCGCCUCGCCCGACCCAGGGGCUCGGACUCGACCACGGCCACGGAAGACAGACUCGACCUCGACCUCGACCUCGAAGGAGCCUCCACAUCACCCAACCUAGGGCGCGGGCCAGCCACGUCAACAGGAGGCGCCAUCAUUACCCUACCCCGAGCUGACUCAGGCUACGGGGAACAAGACCGGCGUCCCAUCUGGCUCGCUCCGCCAGUUAGGCAAUGAUGGCGCCCCACACGCUCCCUGACGACGGCGGCUCUCGGCCCCCUUACGGAAGCAAGAGGACGUCAGCAAGGACUCAACCGCCCCGAUAGCUGUCCUUCCGCCAGGCUCCAACGCUCCUCCGACGGCCACGACAUCACACCAACUGGGUGCCAAAACCUCUCUGGCUGCCACGACGGCGUGUACUUAGGGCACUAGCUCUCCUCCGCUAGACACGUAGCACUCUGCUACACCUCCCAUUGUACACCUGGAUCCUCUCCUUACGUCUAUAAAAGGAAGGACCAGGGCCCUCUUACAGAGGGUUGGCCGCGCGGGGACGAGGACGAGACAGGCGCUCGCGUAAGGCCGCUCGCUCCCUCACCCGUGUGGACGCUUGUAACCCCCUACUGCAAGCGCACCCGACCUGGGCGCGGGACGAACACGAAGGCCGCGGGAUUUCCACCUCUCUCACGCCCGUCUCCGGCCACCUUUCUCCCCCCUUCGCGCUCGGCCUCGCGCCGACCCAUCUGGGCUGGGGCACGCAGCGACAUUUCACUCGUCGGCCCAGGGACCCCCCGGUCUCGAAACGACGACAUUACUGCUGGUAAUCGAGUGUAAAUCAUUAUCAUUACUAUUUAUGUUACAUUUCAUGAACCAAACGGCACCUAAGGGACUUGGGUCCUGUUUGUUUUAGAUUAUAAUUUGCCAGAUUAUAUAAUUCAGUGUAAAUAAUCUUGCUAGUAAACAAACAAACAGACUAUAUGUCUAGAUUAUAUAAUCUAUCCCCAAGAUUGUGAUAAUCUCGUAAUUUUCUCAAGACUAGCUUAUUUUAGAUUAUUUUUUACAAAAUACUCACUACCCAUAAUUAUGUUGUUAAAAUUACAUGGACUGACAUUCUUCUUUUCUCCCAAAUCACACGCAACAAGUAUAUGUUGCCUUUGUGCCUUAGAGAUCAAUAAUCUGCAUUAUAAUCUGAGAAACCAAACAGCUAUAUAUAAAUUAUAAUCUCGACAAAUUAUAAUCUAGAUUAUAUAAUUUAAAUUAUAAUCUAGAUUAUAUAAUCUACAAGCUAAACAAACACAUACUUAGUCUCAUCCUCCACUAGUUCCGAGUCAGACACAUCAACAUCCCCUAAAUCAUCUUAGGAACUAGACGAAGCCAUAAAAAAGAAACUCUUUGACGUCACACAAUUAGCCCAAAAAAGAAAUCAAUCAAACCAUGAUAUGGCAAACAAAAAAGAAUUAAAGUAAGAAAAUUACCUUGGUAGGGCUCACAAGCAGCAGCGAGGAAACUUCUUCGCAAAGCUUCUAGACAACUUUGCAAGCAAAUUGCUCAGUUAAAUAGACUUGCACAAAAGAUCUGUUUUGUGAAAACAAACACCAAGAUUUCUCAUUCUUAGAAUGUGAUAGCAAACCAUGACCAAUAAGCAGUAUAUAUAUAGGCGGCUUCCACCAAAAGUGACUGUUCGUCUUCCUUUUAUACCUGACUUCUAACUUGGCCAUUAAAAAUUUGAAAUACAAUCGUCACUCUCUAACAACUAAGGGUGUGUUUGGUUGCGGGACAGUCAGGACAGGGACGUCCUCUAGCGUCUCUCCAAUUUGAAGGGACAACUGAGGGCAACACUAGGAUAGUUAUGUCCUAACCCCUGAACCAAACAAUCUUAUUUGAGGAAUCGUCUCAUUCCGUCUCGUCCUAUCAUUGCAUCCAAACGCACCCUAAAUCUAAUCUCGAGGAUGGCGUUUUACCUUAGCUCACAUAAUUUCGUCAGAUUCAGACCUUCGGAGAAGUCUUUGACUGCGAGGGGCUCCUGUUGGAGAUUUGACCUCAGACAAUCAGUCCUUGAUGUUUUGGAGGACGUCAUAUCACGAAGACCAAGAAUAAGGCGCAAAGUUGUUUCAUCCUAUUGGCUAAAGGUCAACCGAGGUCUUAAGACAAGUGAAGCUUCCCUAACGAAUACUCUUUUCGUCAGAGGUCGAGCAAAGCUAUAAGACGAACUUUAGUGGGAAGCGAAGUCAAAGCGAACGAAGAGAUCGGUUCACUUAUGAGACAUGAAACUUCACCGACGAAGGUUUCACAUGGACAAGAAUUCAUUAAUAAGACGUGUAGCAUCGCCAACAAAGACUGUGUGGAGUAGAAGCCGAAAACAUAUUCGUUUUCAUCAUUCCAUUGUAAUGACGAUAGAUGUGCGGUACAUCAAACUCAAGAAACUUCUGGGCAGAACUUGA